GGAGCCCAAUAACGUGUUGUAUAUCUUAGAACAAGCUAUUCAUUUUGAUGAGAAACAUUUAGAAAUUAAAUCUUGGGAGUUUAUAGACUGGAACACUAACGACAUUGUGGUAUUGGAAUGUUUCAAUUUGAUUAGCCAUAAAUCAUUAGCUUGUUUGCUCAAGCGGGACAGCUUGGCUAUUAAAGAAGUUGAACUUUUUAAAGCUGUUUUAAAAUGGAUCGACUACCAAUGUUCACAGAAAGGUUUAGAUACAACAAGGGAGAACAGGAGAUUCGUUAUUGGCGAUGCGAUAUACGAUCUAAGAUUUCUUGCUAUGCGUGAGGACGGAUUCGCAAAAUAUGUUGCUACAUCUGGACUGCUUACGGCUGAAGAAAUCGUUUCAAUUUAUAAUAAAUUAAAUAAUAUUGAAUCACCUGAUCUAAAGUGGAAGCUAUCAAGAAGCCGUAUUAACAAUGAAAAAUCAAGAGCUAUAAUUAGAGAAUGUAAGUCUCGAAUCAGUCGAAUGAAACGCUUGAGACGGCAACAGGAGUCUCUGUUAGCGCAAUUGCAAUAGCGAAAAUAGCGAGGCAUUUGAACUACAGUUAGCAAUAGUAGAAAUAGCAAAACUAUAUUUUUUAUACGAUCUCCCAAUUUAAAAGUACAAAUCAGCAUUGAGAUUAUGAGGACAAGAACCACAUUUACAUUGGACGGCUCAAUCAAUUCUAAACUAUUCUUCCUGGAAAUUCUGAAGUUCAAUAAGGCCAUACCUAGCUUUAUACGCAAUAUUGCUCUAGUGAGUAGUGAGUAGUGUUAUUACAGGAGGAAACAUAAACCACACAUAAUUUAUUAAUACUGGAUAGUCUACAUGAGUUCUAAACUGUUCUCCCUGGCGAUCUGAGGAGACCUGUAUGCAAACUUGACUCAUUUUAUUUAUUUAUACAGUUCGUAUAUUGGAUAGCUCCAUGACCAUGUAGUACAAAUUCUAAACUGUUCUCACUAGAGGUCCAGUAUUGAGGGUCAUUAUUAUUGUCACAUGAUAUUACCAGACGAAAACCUAUCUUAUUUACACUGGAUAGUUCUAUCAGUUUUGAUGUCUAAUUUUUGAUGUUUAAACUGAAGAACUAAAAGAACCCAGUUUAAUAGUUACCGAACACGGCAGCAGAGUUUGGUUGUGACUAAAAGCUCACAUGAAGGCGAAAUUCUAAUCAUGUUCCACAAUCGGAAAUUACCGAUUACAAAUUCAUGCAACAAUCUGGCCGAUACUGAUGUACCAAUAUCGAUUUUAAAACAUGAGCAGCAGUGUUUUAUCAGAUAUAAAGAUUCGAGGCGAAGCCGAGUAUCACUUUACGACUUUAGGUCUGAUAAAACACGCACUGCGAAUGUUUUAAAUUGCUCAAAAACGCAGCAAUUAUCUAAUCUUGAGUAAGAAAUUAGUCACGUGCAUACGUCUUUAUACCAGCUAAAGAACACUUUAACAAAAGACCAUUGUUAUGCAAACUAUAUAAAGAUUU